CAGCCGCCGCGGUAAUACGAAGGGGGCUAGCGUUGUUCGGAUUUACUGGGCGUAAAGGGCGCGUAGGCGGACUGAUAAGUCAGGGGUGAAAUCCCAAGGCUCAACCUUGGAACUGCCUUUGAUACUGUUUGUCUUGAGUUCGAGAGAGGUAAGUGGAACUGCGAGCGUAGAGGUGAAAUUCGUAGAUAUUCGCAAGAACACCAGUGGCGAAGGCGGCUUACUGGCUCGAAACUGACGCUGAGGCGCGAAAGCGUGGGGAGCGAACAGGAUUAGAUACCCGUGUAGUCCCUGUCUCUUAUAC
rnacentral:rRNA from 1 species